AUUCAUCAUAAAUAAACAGUUUUAGUUCAUCAAACAGAAACAGAAUAAUGACCGCUUUUGUCGAAAAGGUCUCCAAUUUUUAUUUUUAUUUUAAUUGUACAGUCUGAUCCCAAUCUCAAUAUUCUGGAAAAGGGUUCAGAAAUGCAUGCCCAUAAACCAGAAUACAAAGGCAAAACCAAGUGUGAACUUGUAAUUGCUAAGACAGGACCCAGUCUUUCCUGGGGAAUGCUUGGGAAUCCUAUAUUUAGCUCUAGAGAUGCAUCCAACACCCACAGAAAGCAGUAAAAGAUGUAA